rnacentral:snRNA from 1 species
GUGCCCAUUUUGGCAACACAUAUGUUAAAAUUGGAACAAUACCAGAAGAAGAUCAGCAUGGCCCUGCACAGGAUGACACGCAAAUUCACAAAGUGUCCCAUAUUUUU